GGAAACCCUGGUGGAAGCCCGAAGCGAUUCUGACGUGCAAAUCGAUCGUCUGAUUUGGGUAUAGGGGCGAAAGACUAAUCGAACCAUCUAGUAGCUGGUUCCCUCCGAAGUUUCCCUCAGGAUAGCUGGAACCCAUGUGUGCAGUUUUAUCAGGUAAAGCGAAUGAUUAGAGGUCUUGGGGUUGAAACAACCUCAACCUAUUCUCAAACUUUAAAUAGGUAAGAAGUCCGACUUGCUUAAGUGAAGCCGGACGUUGAAUGCAGGGUUCCUAGUGGGCCAUUUUUGGUAAGCAGAACUGGCGAUGCGGGAUGAACCGAAAGCCGGGUUAAGGUGCCAAAGUCGACGCUCAUCAGACCCCACAAAAGGUGUU
rnacentral:rRNA from 1 species